AUUGAACGCUGGCGGCAGGCCUAACGCAUGCAAGUCGAACGGUAACAGAAAGCAGCUUGCUGCUUUGCUGACGAGUGGCGGACGGGUGAGUAAUGUCUGGGAAACUGCCUGAUGGAGGGGGAUAACUACUGGAAACGGUAGCUAAUACCGCAUACCGUCGCAAGACCAAAGAGGGGGCCCUUCGGGCCUCUUGCCAUCGGAUGUGCCCAGAUGGGAUUAGCUUGUUGGUGGGGUAACGGCUCACCAAGGCGACGAUCCCUAGCUGGUCUGAGAGGAUGACCAGCCACACUGGAACUGAGACACGGUCCAGACUCCUACGGGAGGCAGCAGUGGGGAAUAUUGCACAAUGGGCGCAAGCCUGAUGCAGCCAUGCCGCGUGUAUGAAGAAGGCCUUCGGGUUGUAAAGUACUUUCAGCGGGGAGGAAGGGAGUAAAGUUAAUACCUUUGCUCAUUGACGUUACCCGCAGAAGAAGCACCGGCUAACUCCGUG
rnacentral:rRNA from 1 species